CAGCAGCCGCGGUAAUACGUAGGGUGCGAGCGUUAAUCGGAAUUACUGGGCGUAAAGCGUGCGCAGGCGGUUUUGUAAGACAGGCGUGAGAUCCCCGGGCUCAACCUGGGAAUGGCGCUUGUGACUGCAAAGCUAGAGUGCGGCAGAGGGGGAUGGAAUUCCGCGUGUAGCAGUGAAAUGCGUAGAUAUGCGGAGGAACACCGAUGGCGAAGGCAAUCCCCUGGGCCUGCACUGACGCUCAUGCACGAAAGCGUGGGGAGCAAACAGGAUUAGAUACCCGGGUAGUCCCUGUCUCUUAUAC
rnacentral:rRNA from 1 species